UUUCUCUCCCUCUCUUAAUGGCAGGUGCACUUGGUGCAACAUGCAGGACAUCAGGCUGAUUGUGUUGGGUGGUUGAGUCAGGACAGUCAGACUGAUUGUGUUGGGUGGUUGAGGCAGGACAUCAGACUGUGUUGGGUGGUUGAGUCAGGACAGUCAGACUGAUUGUGUUGGGUGGUUGAGGCAGGACAUCAGACUGAUUGUGUUGGGUGGUUGAGGCAGGACAUCAGACUGAUUGUGUUGGGUGGUUGAGGCAGGACAUCAGACUGAUUUUGUUGGGUGGUUGAGGCAGGACAUCAGACUGAUUGUGUUGGGUGGUUGAGGCAGGACAUCAGACUGAUUGUGUUGGGUGGUUGAGGCAGGACAUCAGACUGAUUGUGUUGGGUGGUUGAGGCAGGACAUCAGACUGAUUAUGUUGGGUGGUUGAGGCAGGACAUCAGACUGAUUAUGUUGGGUGGUUGAGGCAGGACAUCAGACUGAUUAUGUUGGGUGGUUGAGAGGAAGGGCAAUCUCAGGAGUAGCAGUAAAUGCAUGGGUCACAUAUGAAGCUCAUGUGAUCUGUUGAGAUUCAGUGGAUCAGGAAAUACUUUUCAGCAUCAAUGCAUAUAACAAUAUACACCAAUAGAACACAUAAUGCACCAAUAGAAGCCAAUAGAACACAUAAUGCACCAAUAGAAGCCAAUAGAACACAUAAUGCACCAAUAGAAGCCAAUAGAACACAAUGCACCAAUAGAAGCCAAUAGAACACAUAAUGCACCAAUAGACACCACUAUAACUCACCUGUUGUGUUUGUUUCUACUAUCAGUCACUACAAUAGUUAUGCCUUUCAUUGGAAGGAGAGUGUUCUUGAGUAAAUCAACAAAAACAUUCAAUAACUGGAAAAAUGUCAAUAUUUCCUUGGAUUAGUAUUAAGAUCAUUCCAUAGAACAGUGGCGGUUAAACGUUUUCAGCGGGAACAUCACCCCAUGCCAAAUAUCAUUUCAAACUCAUGACCUUAAAUCAGUACAUUCAAAUAACCUUCAAUUCAUAACAUUUCUCUUACCAAAAUAAAAUGAAACCAAUAAAUACAUUUUAUCAAAUUAAUUUUUCUAAAUAUCUUUCUCAACGUAUAUUGUCCAAUACAAUAAUCCAUACUCUUAAAUGUUUGUUUGGCGACACCAGUGCAGUUCACCCUCAACCCCACUUGGGGUCGCAACCGACUUUGAAUAACACUGCCAUUGACUGUAUUGUAUCAAAAAAGAGAUCAGUAUUUAGGCUUAUUGUAUCUAAUCCAAAGUGCACCAAUUACACACUAUAGUAACAGAGGUAAUGACCAAUAUAAAAGAGAACUGGUGUGUAUCGUUAGAUAUUACUGCACUGUUGGAACUAGGAACACAAGCAUUUCACUACACCCGCAAUAACAUCUGCUAAACAUGUAUGUGACCAAUCAAAUUUGAUUUGACCCCAAUAUGUGCUUUGAGCAACGUACAGAGAGAUUCUUUGUCAUUGCUUUAUUUAUAUAAUCAUUCCAGUGUAUGCAUGAAGACACAGAAAUAUUUCAUAGUUCAUAAUGUGCUGCUCUACUUCGAGAGAAAGUAAAAAAUUAUAGAAAGAAAACAUUUAGAAAUCUAAUAAAUGUAGUUUGACACAGGAGUGAAUGUUAUAUUGACAAGCAGUACAAGCAUGUUGAACUGUUUUUUACAAUUUCAUUUUGAGUUUUGUAUUUUUUUUUUUAAAGGACAGUACAUUGUUGCAGCUAUGGCAGACUUGUAAAAUCAUCAAAUAUUAUCACGACAAAAUACAAUCUUGUUUAUGCGAUGUUCAUUUCAGAGCAUUCUUUUUUUAUAGACAAACUAUCAUUGUCUAAUAUCUUUUCACUUUUGUUUUGAAUGUUCUUAAUUGGAAAAUGCAAAAAUAAAAAAAAUA